AGAUAUUUAUCACGAAAAGAUUAGUCAGAUCACGUGACAUUCCUGUGACUUGGGUAACAGUGAUGUGUUGCUAGAUACCGCUCACUGUUUAUAAUAUUACGAUUAAUAUUAUUGCCAACGUCAUAAGAACCUACAGGGUCACACACAUAAGGACAGUUAAGAAGGGAAAAAUAAGUAAGACUUAUUGCGGGGGUGCAGUUAGUGACAAAUGGUUAUUGGGCUUGAGAAGCCCAAUUUCGUGUAAACUAAAG
rnacentral:lncRNA from 1 species